rnacentral:rRNA from 1 species
AUUGAACGCUGGCGGCAGGCCUAACACAUGCAAGUCGAGCGGUAGCACAGAGAGCUUGCUCUCGGGUGACGAGCGGCGGACGGGUGAGUAAUGUCUGGGAAACUGCCCGAUGGAGGGGGAUAACUACUGGAAACGGUAGCUAAUACCGCAUAACGUCGCAAGACCAAAGAGGGGGACCUUCGGGCCUCUUGCCAUCGGAUGUGCCCAGAUGGGAUUAGCUAGUAGGGGGGGUAACGGCUCACCUAGGCGACGAUCCCUAGCUGGUCUGAGAGGAUGACCAGCCACACUGGAACUGAGACACGGUCCAGACUCCUACGGGAGGCAGCAGUGGGGAAUAUUGCACAAUGGGCGCAAGCCUGAUGCAGCCAUGCCGCGUGUAUGAAGAAGGCCUUCGGGUUGUAAAGUACUUUCAGCGGGGAGGAAGGUGUUGAGGUUAAUAACCUCAGCAAUUGACGUUACCCGCAGAAGUAGCACCGGCUAACUCCGUACCAGCCGCCGCCGUAA